rnacentral:rRNA from 1 species
AGUAAGUUGUAUCGUGUCAGGAUGAACGCUAGCGGCAGGCUUAACACAUGCAAGUCGAGGGGCAGCGGGAUGUAGCAAUACAUUGCCGGCGACCGGCGGAUGGGUGCGUAACGCGUAUGCAACCUACCUUAUACAGGGGAAUAACCUUUCGAAAGGGAGACUAACACCCCAUAGUAUUGAUUUAAGGCAUCUUAGAUUAAUUAAAUAUUUAUAGGUAUAAGAUGGGCAUGCGUAUGAUUAGCUAGUUGGUAAGGUAACGGCUUACCAAGGCGACGAUCAUUAGGGGUUCUGAGAGGAAGGUCCCCCACACUGGUACUGAGACACGGACCAGACUCCUACGGGAGGCAGCAGUGAGGAAUAUUGGUCAAUGGACGCAAGUCUGAACCAAGCCAAGUCGCGUGAAGGAAGAAUGUCCUAUGGAUUGUAAACUUCUUUUGAAGGGGAAUAAAGUACGGUACGUGUACCGUUUUGUAUGUACCCUUCGAAUAAGGAUCGGCUAACUCCGUGCCAGCCGCCGC